AUUAAUUGUCCACACUGAAAACAUAAAUUUGUCAUGUUGACCAGAUUUGAAGUCAUUUUCUUCCGUUCAGUUAGUCAAUACAUAAUUUGACUAUCUGUUUCCUCAACAUUACCAGUCUCUGGCCAACUUUGACUUGUGACUGGUCAUUUUAUUUAUAUUUAUUGGCGGGAAGAAACAAUAGCGUCGGUCGCCAUUUUCCUCCCAGGAAAACUCGAAGUCAUGUAUGGCAUGGACUCUCAACUACCACUGAAUGGACAAGCAAAUCAAAAUACUACAGUACAAUGCAUUGUUACGAAUAUAGACAAGAUGAAAACCACAUUAGGUACACGAAGAUGUUACCAUGAAUAGAAGAAAUAAGUUAAUCCAUUUCUGACGAAAACAGCCAAACAAGAAGAAAACAGUAAUUAACACUAAGAAGAAACAAGACCUGUGAAAAAGAAUUUGUAAUGAUCAAAGAAGAAACAACCAGUUAAUAUAUUCCUCUGAGGUGGAAAACAAAGCAACAACUUAACUGAAAGGGUGCAACGAG